rnacentral:pre_miRNA from 1 species
GUUAUACUCCCUCCGUUCGGAAUUACUUGUCUCGGAAAUGGAUGUGUCUAGAACUAAAAUAAGUCUAGAUACAUCCAUUUUUGCGACAAGUAAUUCCGAACGGAGGGAGUACUUU